ACGUAGGGGGCAAGCGUUGCUCGGAAUUACUGGGCGUAAAGGGUGUGUAGGUGGCUGAUUAAGUUAAGGAUGAAAUCCCGAGGCUCAACUUCGGAACUGUCCUUGAUACUGGUCAGCUUGAGGCUAGUAAAGGAGAGCGGAAUUCCCGGUGGAGCGGUGAAAUGCCUAGAUAUCGGGAGGAACACCAGAGGCUGAGGCUGUUCUCUAGGCUAGUCCUGCUACUGAGACACGUAAUCUAGGGGAGCAAACGG
rnacentral:rRNA from 1 species